AAGUAGGUCGUUAAAUAUUUCCCGUAACACUAUGUGAUAAGGUCAAGGAGGAAGGGCUACGCGAAGUCGUCCACCUCCCCCGGUUUUAAAAUGUCUAUUUCGGCGACGAAUGAUUAGGUUGCAAUUUUUUGCAAGUAGGUUGCUGAAUAUCGACACGGUUUCGGGGUGCCUACGCCAAUGACUGGGAGGGUGGAGGGGAGCCGACUUCACGUACGUGUCUACGGCCCGUUUCUGUAGCGUUUACGCCCCGACGCCAUUGCGACUUUUGUUAUCCCGACGAAAAUGAACUCGCGUUUCGCCGCUGUCGAUGAAAAUACCGUCGUCCCCUAUCCGCCGACUAUUCGGGCGUUAUCGCGCCGCGCGAUUAAAUCACGGGCCGAUAAGGACGCCGGGAGGCCGAGAAUUUCCCGGUAGUCCUCCCUCGGCGAAUUGACCUUGGACGAGUUGCGGGCACCGCGGAACGGAAACUAUCGGUUUAUUCGCGGCGGACCCGGGUAUGAUGUUAGUCCCCGUGUAAACAAUGUGCCGAAACACAAGUAAACGACAAUAGGACCUGGUGUCCUAUUGUGAGGGGGGGGUGGUAGGGAAAGGUCAUCGGUAUUUUUUAUUCGCGCAGGGGGUCUUGUUUAACAUUUUUAACCCGGCAGUCCGAAAAUGACCGUCCGUCCGGC